UAGGCUGAAACUCGCCUACAUGAAGCUGGAAUUGCUAGUAAUCACAGGUCAGCAUACUGUGGUGAAUACGUUCCCGGGCCUUGUACACACCGCCCGUCACACCAUGAGAGUUGAGAAUACCCGAAGCCCAUGUCAAAGUGGUCGAAGGUAGGCUUGAUGAUUGGGUGAAGUCGUAACAAGGUACC
rnacentral:rRNA from 1 species